GUGCUUGCACACUUUAAAAUGUUUUCUAUAUGUGUAUGGAAUUUACCAUUGGAAUCAAAAGUAAUCCCUAAGUGUUUAUGACAGGAGACAAAUUCUACUCAUUGGUUUUGAAAUUUUAUUUCAAUAUCAUCUGGGGAAGUAUGGCAGGAGAAUAUCAUAGCCUUUGUCUUAUUAGGGUUAAAAUUAAUAAGCCAAUCUUUAGACCAUACUGAAAUUUGUUCUAAAUCGCUAUUUAAGACAUCCUCUAUAGUGUAAGGGUUAUUGCUGGAAUAAGAAAGAGAUGUAUCAUCAGCAAACAAUCGAGUUAGACUUGUCAAAUUAUCAGCUAUGUCAUUUACAUAAAUAAGAAAUAGUAGGGGACCUAAUACAGAGCCUUGCGGAACUCUUGCAUUAGUAUUAUCAAAAGGCGAAUAGGCAUUUGAAACAAAAACGCUUUGUUUUCUAUUUGAAAUAUAACUUUCAAACCAUUUAUACAGAUUUCCA
rnacentral:lncRNA from 1 species